UGGGGUGUAGCUUAGUGGGAAGUAUAUGCCUAGCACACACAAGGCCCUAGGUUUAAUCCCCAGUACCACAA
rnacentral:tRNA from 1 species